rnacentral:rRNA from 1 species
GACGAACCGUGCGAACGUUAUUCGGAAUCACUGGGCUUAAAGCGCGUGUAGGCGGAUGGGAACGUCGGUAGUUGAAAGCCCCCGGCUCAACCGGGGAAGUGGUGCCGAAACGACCCGUCUGGAGGGACGUAGGGGCAGGUGGAACUUCCGGUGGAGCGGUGAAAUGUGUUGAUAUCGGAAGGAACGCCGGUGGCGAAAGCGACCUGCUGGAUCUCUUCUGACGCUGAGGCGCGAAAGCUAGGGGAGCGAACGGG